rnacentral:rRNA from 1 species
AGAGUUUGAUCAUGGCUCAGAAUCAACGCUGGCGGCGUGCCUCAGACAUGCAAGUCGAACGAUUAAAGCUCUCUUCGGAGAGUGCAUAGAGUGGCGCACGGGUGAGUAACACGUAAGUAAUCUACCUUCGAGUGGGGAAUAACGUCCGGAAACGGACGCUAAUACCGCAUAAUGCAGCGGCAUCGCAAGAUGACAGUUGUUAAAGAUUUAUCGCUUGAAGAGGAGCUUGCGGCAGAUUAGCUAGUUGGUAAGGUAAUGGCUUACCAAGGCUACGAUCUGUAACCGGUCUAAGAGGACGGUCGGUCACACUGACACUGAACAACGGGUCAGACUCCUACGGGAGGCAGCAGUCGGGAAUUUUGGGCAAUGGGCGAAAGCCUGACCCAGCAACGCCGCGUGAAGGAUGAAGUAUUUCGGUAUGUAAACUUCGAAAGAAUGGGAAGAAUAAAUGACGGUACCAUUUAUAAGGUCCGGCUAACUACGUGCCAGCAGCCGCGGUAAUACGUAGGGACCAAGCGUUGUUCGGAUUUACUGGGCGUAAAGGGCGCGUAGGCGGCUUGACAAGUCACUUGUGAAAUCUCCGGGCUUAACUCGGAACGGCCAAGUGAAACUGUCAUGCUAGAGUGCAGAAGGGGCAAUCGGAAUUCUUGGUGUAGCGGUGAAAUGCGUAGAUAUCAAGAGGAACACCUGAGGUGAAGACGGGUUGCUGGGCUGACACUGACGCUGAGGCGCGAAAGCCAGGGGAGCAAACGGGAUUAGAUACCCUAGUAGUCC